GACGAACGCUGGCGGCGUGCUUAACACAUGCAAGUCGAACGGAAAGGCCCUGCUUUUGUGGGGUGCUCGAGUGGCGAACGGGUGAGUAACACGUGAGUAACCUGCCCUUGACUUUGGGAUAACUUCAGGAAACUGGGGCUAAUACCGGAUAGGAGCUCCUGCUGCAUGGUGGGGGUUGGAAAGUUUCGGCGGUUGGGGAUGGACUCGCGGCUUAUCAGCUUGUUGGUGGGGUAGUGGCUUACCAAGGCUUUGACGGGUAGCCGGCCUGAGAGGGUGACCGGCCACAAUGGGAAUGAGGUACGGGCCAGACUCCUACGGGAGGCAGGAGUGGGGAAUAUUGCACAAUGGGCGGAAGCCUGAUGCAGCAACGCCGCGUGCGGGAUGACGGCCUUCGGGUUGUAAACCGCUUUCGCCUGUGACGAAGCGUGAGUGACGGUAAUGGGUAAAGAAGCACCGGCUAACUACGUG
rnacentral:rRNA from 1 species